rnacentral:tRNA from 1 species
CCGCCCAUAGCUCAGCUGGUAGAGCAACUCGCUUUUAACGAGGAGGUCCCUGGAUCGUUCCCAGGUGGGCGGA